ensembl:lncRNA
CAGGUUAUCCCCAAAGCAGAGAGAGUAAUGCAUGAGAAAUGGGCCCUGCCCUUUCCUUUCCUUCCCCCCUCGUUCCCGGUCCAGAGGCGGGCUGGGUUUAAUUUGCCGUGGUGUCGCCAGCCGCCGCGGGGGAAACGGAAUGGAUUCCGGAAUGUAAAAAGAUGAUUUAAAUAAAGAAAUAAAAAGCGCACUCUGGGAAAGAGUGCCGGAGACAAUAGCACAGAAGGCGGGAGAAGAGAAAUGAGAGCAAAGUUUAGCUCGCCGGAGGGGAAGAAAAAGGUGGGAGAGAAGAAAAGAGAGCGAGAGAGAGAGCGAGAGCGAGAACAGGGAGAGAGAGCGAGAGCGAGAGCGAGAACAGGGAGAGAGAGCGAGAGAGAGCGAGAGAGAGAGCGAGAGCGAGAACAGGGAGAGAGAGCGAGAGCGAGAACAGGGAGAGAGAGCGAGAGAGAGCGAGCGAGCGCGAGGGCGAGAGAGAGAGAGAGAGAGCGAGAGAGAGAGAGAGAGAGAGCGAGAGAGAGCGAGAGGACAGGGUGGAGUUCUUAUGUAGGCCAGCUAUCCAUGGCGUGGCCGGCCGCAGCAGCCAGGAGCCGGGCCCUCGUCGGGGGAACCGGCUCGGGCCAGAACCAUCAGGGCUCCACGCCACGGCCGCCACGGCCGUCACGGGCGACGCCACCCGAACCCUGCGGCGGGCGCGAGGUUAAUGACCUCCCCCCGGGGCUGUUCAUUGGACGCGUGGGGAGGAGAGGACUGCGAGUGUGAGUGUGUGUGUGCGCGUGUCAGUGUGCGCGUGUUGGUCUAUGUGUGCGUGCGGGGUGUGGUGUGAGUGUGCGUGUGUGCGUCACCCUCCGAGAGCUUUGGGAUGUAACUCAAUGCUUCCUGUUGCUCCAUGGAGUGACAUCACCAAACAGAUUGGUGAUGUCACACAACGCGCCCCUCCUGAGGCUCCGCCCCUCCUGAGGCUCCGCCCCUCCUGUCACCACAGAGCUCUUCAACAGACCCGACAGCGGAGCUGCCGACAGCGGAGCCGCCGCGGGACGGGGACAGGCGGCGG